rnacentral:lncRNA from 1 species
UGAACCUGCAUUUUCAGGCUCAAUUAUCUUCACAUCUAAUAAUGUCCCAGUAGCUUAUUAGAGGAUGUUGGUUGUUAUUACAAUGGUGAGGAAAAUUUGAUGAAAGUGUGCUUAAUUAUAUAUAAAGCUUCGUAAACAUUUGUUCCUUUGAACUAGUAUUAAGCGGUCUUGUAAAUCUGCCCGUAAUGUUGGUGGACAUCACGUGGUUGAUAUACUUAACCAAGUUUCUGUUUUCCAGAAUCAUUUCUGCUUUUGUUUCUUAUUCUGGCUCCCAAGAAGACACAACAAUUCAGAGUAAGUGUGAACCCCUGUGGCAGAAAUG